AAGUCUUUGGUUUUCAGCUGGGGUAGCAGCAGGUCCAGGCAGAGGUGGGGGCUGUGUGCUGUCACCCCAGAGCCUGUUCUUUAAUUUGCCAUACUGGACAGCAAUGGGAGUUUUCCUGAGGUGAAGCUGUGCAAGCCUGGCAGCUUUCACCCACUAACUACUGUCCUGCUGGAGAGCCUGAUCUAGCUGGAGGUGUUCCUGCUUACUGCACCUUUGAGAGUCACUUCCAACACAAUGCAACCUGUGAAUCAGUGGAACUGCACCUGCUGGGCUUCUGAGAUAUGGGAUUGCCCUCAGUGCAUGCAGGUGGAGUGUUUAAGUAUUCUUUCCAGUUUCUUGAUGAGUGUGGAAAUCAAGCUGAGAGGCUCUCAUCUCAUCAGCAAGGCUUUUGACACCAUCUCCCAUAACAUCCUCAAAGUGCAUUUUGAUAUGGAGGAGGAAUGCCCCUUCCCUGUAAUUUCUUAGAUGAGCCACGGGGCUUUAGGUGAAAUGAUUGCUGGAGAGAGAAGCCUUGGACUGUAAACAGGGCACCUGGAGUACCAGCCCUGCAGCCAGCAGGGAUGUGGUUAGCUCUCCUGAGGGGGUGAGGCAUCCUUGCUGAGUGCCUGCGUCCUGGGAAGGGUGCUGGGAAGAUAUCAUCAGCUCAGACUUAGCAAUCUGGAAAGAGCUGGAUUUACUGGGAGAGGUGAAGUCACCUGCUUCAACCCCUCUGGACUGGGAGAGAGAGGUAAUGAUGCCAAGAUGAGAUUCUGGAAGUGGGAGCAGCUCUUGCAUAGUGGCAAAAGAUCUCUACAAAGUUAGUGGCUGGAAAUACACAGAGUGGCAGUGGGCAAAAAGUUACUAGAGGAAGGUGUCCCACAACAGACAAAGAUGUUUGGGUGGGCUCUGCUGGCUAAAUGACAGCAGUACUGCUUUGGAAAGGUCACCUCACUGACUUGCAUUCACCCCGACCUAUGCUACUGCAGCAUUAUCCAAAUCCAGGUCUGUUUGGUGUCCUGCAGGUCUGAGUGACCCUUUUCCAUCUUGAGGACUGAAAUGAGCAUCCUCCUGCUCUGAGAUGUGUCCUCUGGACAUGUCACUUCCAAAUGACGAAAGAGGGCCUCCUUUGAGUAGGCGGCUCCCAGCAGGGACAGAAACUCCUUCUGCAUCCCUAUGGCCAAAAGAUUUAUUUGCUCUUUGAGGGUAGAGGCUUAAUUCUUGUCCUGAAACUUCAUAACCCUGUUCAGGCCAUCUCUGCCCAGAAAGAUUUGCUGCAGCAAUAACCUGCAAAGGGGCUGCUUUUCCCCGUGCUUCAGCAGCACUGAUGGACUCACCCUGAGGGCUCUUACCUGCUGCAGGGUGGCAAGGAGGGGACAAGUGACUGUCUUUCUCUCGUUUUUCCUCUCAGAUGCAGUGUCAUGCUGUGGCUCAGUGGCAUUUUGUGCUCAGGACAAGAAGGCGUUGUUUAAAGCUGCAAAGUAGGGGAAUAAAUUGGAGGAUGGAGCACAGAGAGCUCUGUAAAAGGCUUUGCUGCUAUGCCCUGCAAUUACCCAGAGUGAUGUGCCCUUGAAAAUAGACCGGAGCAGAUGCAGUUGGUGACUGAGCUGCAGCUCUCAAGUGUCAAAGCUACUGUUUGUCCCCUUUCAGACUCUUAAUUCUCCAGGUAACACUGCAGAGCCACCUUGCUCAGCCUCUGUGUGCCAGCCUCAACCUUCCUAUAGAGGGACCUGGCCAAGGGCACUGGCCAGCUGGCAGGGAGGGAUGGAUGUGCAGCAGGGAGACUGGAGGGAAUCCCUCUGACUGGAGUUAUGUAGGGAGCCUCUCGAGUACUGCAGUCCUACCACCUUGUUGCUGGAAGUUCCAGCCCGGCCAAGAGAUGUCCCAGCCAGAUGGAGACAGCCAGGCCAAGGUGGCCAAUGUGUUGUGAGGAGGGGAGGGUUUUGAGGCUGAUGGCUCCUCCUCUCAGGCAGGGUUAAUACAAUGAAGUGCUUGAUAA